GACAGAGGGUGCAAACGUUGUUCGGAAUUACUGGGCGUAAAGCGCGUGUAGGCGGCUAAGUAAGUCGGGCGUGAAAUCCCACGGCUCAACCGUGGAAGUGCACUCGAAACUGCAUAGCUAGAGUCCUGGAGAGGAAGGUGGAAUGCUUGGUGUAGAGGUGAAAUUCGUAGAUAUCAAGCGGAACACCGGUGGCGAAGGCGGCUCACUGGCUCGUAACUGACGCUCAUGCACGACAGCGUGGGGAUCAAACAGG
rnacentral:rRNA from 1 species